UACGAAGGGGGCUAGCGUUGUUCGGAAUUACUGGGCGUAAAGCGCACGUAGGCGGAUAUUUAAGUCAGGGGUGAAAUCCCGCAGCUCAACUGCGGAACUGCCUUUGAUACUGGGUAUCUUGAGUAUGGAAGAGGUAAGUGGAAUUCCGAGUGUAGAGGUGAAAUUCGUAGAUAUUCGGAGGAACACCAGUGGCGAAGGCGGCUUACUGGUCCAUUACUGACGCUGAGGUGCGAAAGCGUGGGGAGCAAAC
rnacentral:rRNA from 1 species